rnacentral:rRNA from 1 species
UACGAAGGGUGCAAGCGUUAAUCGGAAUUACUGGGCGUAAAGCGCGCGUAGGUGGUUCAGUAAGUUGGAAGUGAAAUCCCCGGGCUCAACCUGGGAACUGCUUUCAAAACUGCUGAGCUAGAGUACGGUAGAGGGUGGUGGAAUUUCCCGUGUAGCGGUGAAAUGCGUAGAUAUAGGAAGGAACACCAGUGGCGAAGGCGACCACCUGGACUGAUACUGACACUGAGGUGCGAAAGCGUGGGGAGCAAACAGG